UACGUAGGGCGCAAGCGUUGUCCGGAAUUAUUGGGCGUAAAGAGCUCGUAGGCGGUUUGUCGCGUCUUGCUGUGAAAUCCUCAGGCUCAACUUGGGGCGUGCAGUGGGUACGGGCAGACUAGAGUGCGGUAGGGGAGACUGGAAUUCCUGGGUGAUAGCGGUGGAAUGCGCAGAUAUCAGGAGGAACACCGAUGGGCGAAGGCAGGUCUCUGGGCCGUU
rnacentral:rRNA from 1 species